UUUUUGAUUUGUGCUUUUGAGGUCUUUGCCUUUGCUGAAUUUUCUUUCUCUCAAUGAUUUGGGCAAAUCAACACCAAUUGCUAAAUCAAGUCACAUUAAGUUCAUUCACACAACUUUCAAUUUAUUCUCAUCAAUUGAGGGUCAUCAAUAUAUUUUUCACCAUGGCAAACUCAAAGAUUCAAUUCAAAAGGCAAUUUUCAAACAUGAAUAUAACUCACUGCAAUUGAUUCAACAUAAGUUUAAAGAGUCAUAACAUCAAUGGGGUCAUGGAAAGAAAAACUCAUCUAACAU
rnacentral:lncRNA from 1 species